rnacentral:snoRNA from 1 species
UAGCUGGGAUGCACACAGAAAUCCAACACUGAUUCACUAACGUGAAGAGAAAAAACAUAAAACGAGCUUUUUAACUCUGAGCCUU